rnacentral:rRNA from 1 species
UACAGAGGGGGCAAGCGUUGUUCGGAAUUACUGGGCGUAAAGGGCGCGUAGGCGGCCUGUUAAGUCGAACGUGAAAUCCCCGGGCUCAACCCCGGGAACUGCGUCCGAUACUGGCAGGCUUGAAUCCGGGAGAGGGAUGUGGAAUUCCAGGUGUAGCGGUGAAAUGCGUAGAUAUCUGGAGGAACACCGGUGGCGGAAGGCGGCAUCC